AACGAACGCUGGCGGCAUGCCUAACACAUGCAAGUCGAACGAGACCUUCGGGUCUAGUGGCGCACGGGUGCGUAACGCGUGGGAACCUGCCCUUAGGUUCGGAAUAACUCCCCGACAGGGGUGCUAAUACCGGAUAAUGUCUUCGGACCAAAGAUUUAUCGCCUUUGGAUGGGCCCGCGUUGGAUUAGCUAGUUGGUAGGGUAAAAGCCUACCAAGGCGACGAUCCAUAGCUGGUCUGAGAGGAUGAUCAGCCACACUGGGACUGAGACACGGCCCAGACUCCUACGGGAGGCAGCAGUGGGGAAUAGUGGACAAUGGGCGAAAGCCUGAUCCAGCAAUGCCGCGUGAGUGAUGAAGGCCUUAGGGUUGUAAAGCUCUUUUACCCGGGAUGAUAAUGACAGUACCGGGAGAAUAAGCUCCGGCUAACUCCGUG
rnacentral:rRNA from 1 species